GAGACUCUGUGCGCGUGCAUAUCAAUAAGCGGAGGAAAAGAAACUAACAAGGAUUCCCUUAGUAACGGCGAGUGAAGCGGGAAGAGCUCAAAUUUGAAAUCUUCGAGGUUCUACCUUGACGAAUUGUAGUUUAUAGAAGUGUUUUCUGUUGAAGUUUUGGUAAAAGUUCUUUGGAAUAGGACAUCAUAGAGGGUGAGAAUCCCGUAUUUGGUCAUUCUUUCUAGCUUUGUGAUACACUUUCAACGAGUCGGAUUGUUUGGGAUUGCAGUCAAAAAUGGGUGGUAAAUUUCAUCUAAAGCUAAAUAUUGGCGAGAGACCGAUAGCGAACAAGUACCGUGAGGGAAAGAUGAAAAGAACUUUGAAAAGAGAGUUAAACAGUACGUGAAAUUGUCAAAAGGGAAGCGUUUGACACCAGUGUUGUUUAGUUGAAAAUCAAUUCAAUAAUUUUUGAUUCUGAGUAGUAUUGACUUCAUCAGCUUGCUGCUUUCUUUCUCAGAAAUUAUUGAAUGCACUUUUCAGUUAACAAGUCAACAUCAAUUUCUUUUGUUGUAAAAGGGUAAGAGGAAGGUGGCUUACGCUUCGGCGUAAGUGUUUAUAGCCUUUUACCUCUGCAAUCGGAGAGAUUGAGGACAGCAGCGUAGACUCUUCGGGGUUAGAUACACUUGUGCUAAGCUAUAGCCUUGUAUAGACAACUUGUUGACUAUGCUCAGUCAUGUAGCUUACUCGCUUGUGCUAUUUUACCUACGCUUAGGAUGUUGAUCUGUAGUGCGUGCGC
rnacentral:rRNA from 1 species